rfam:Dipodomys ordii contig_2277, whole genome shotgun sequence.
GGGAUUGUGGCUUAGUGGUAGAGUACUUGUCUAGCAUCCAUGAAGCCCUGGGUUCGAUUCCUCAGUACCA